GUAAGGGCGGACGGUGGAUCCCUCGGCAGCCGGAGGCGAUGAAGGGCGUGGCCAGCUGCGAUAAGCCCCGGGGAGCCGCUGAGCGGGCUAUGAUCCGGGGAUUCCCGAAUGGGGCAACCCACCGUACCGUUGAGGUGCGGUAUCCGCCGCCGAACACAUAAGCGGUGGAGGCGAACCCCGCGAAGGGAAACAUCCCAGUAGCGGGAGGAAAAGAAACCAACACCUGCCGCAAGGCAGGCGCGUUCGCCAAAAGCGGGCGUGGGGAUUCCCCUAGUAGCGGCGAGCGAACGGGGAGGAGCCCAAACCUCAUGGGUGCAAUAGGCCGCAGCCGUUGCCCGUGGGGGGUUGUGGGGCGAUGGUGGGGGCCGCUGCGGAGGCCCCGGGGAGUUACAAAGGCCUUCUCUAGCCGAACGGCCAGCAAAGUCACUGGAAAGGGCGACCGGAGAGGGUGAAAGUCCCGUAGGCGAAAGGGAAGGCCCUCCCUGGCCAUCGACCCCGAGUAGCGUCGGACACGAGGAAUCCGGCGCGAAGCUGGGGGGACCACCCUCCAAGGCUAAAUACUACCGGCUGACCGAUAGUGCACCAGUACCGUGAGGGAAAGGUGAAAAGCACCCCGGGAGGGGAGUGAAAUAGAACGUGAAACCGUCCGCCUACAGUGCAGUGGGAGCCUUUUCCGCCUUGGCCUUCGGGCCCUGGCGGAGGGGUGACCGCGUGCCUUUUGCAGUAUGAGCCGGCGAGUUACGCUCCGUGGCGAGGUUAAGCCCCUUUGGGGCGGAGCCGUAGCGAAAGCGAGUCCGAACAGGGCGACUAGUCACGGGGCGUAGACCCGAAGCCAGGUGAUCUACCCAUGGGCAGGGUGAAGUGCGCCUAAACGCGCACGGAGGCCCGAACCCGUUGGCUGUGCAACGCCAUGGGAUGACCUGUGGGUAGCGGUGAAAAGCCAAUCGCACCUGGUGAUAUCUGGCUCUCCCCGAAAUGGCUCUAGGGUCAGCCUCACGUUACAGGCGGCCGGGGGUAGAGCACUGGCUGGGGAAGGGGGGAAACUCCCGACUCCAAUCAAACUCCGAAUACCGGCCGUCGUUUCGUGGGAGUGAGACUGUGGGUGAUAACGUCCAUAGUCGAGAGGGAAACAACCCAGACCGCCAGCUAAGGCCCCCAAAUCCAGGCUAAGUGGGAAAGGCGGUGUGGUUGCUGAAACAGCUGGGAGGUUGGCUUAGAAGCAGCCAUCCUUUAAAGAGUGCGUAAUAGCUCACCAGUCUAGCGACCGCGCGCCGAAAAUGUAACGGGGCUAAGCCUGGUGCCGAAGCUGCGGGGCGUCUGUCUUCGGACGGGCGUCGGUAGGGGAGCGUUCCCAGCGGGUCGAAGCCGCGUCGCGAGGCGCGGUGGACUGCUGGGAAGUGAGAAUGCCGGCAUGAGUAGCGCAAGACGGGUGAGAAUCCCGUCCACCGAAUGCCCAAGGUUUCCUGGGGAAGGCUGAUCCACCCAGGGUUAGGCGGCCCUAAGCCGAACCCGAAAGGGGGUAGGCGAUGGACAGCCGGUUAAUAUUCCGGCCCCUCCGGGCCUGCGUUAUGAGCGAAGGGGGGACGCCGCGCGAGCCCCUCCGCAGGCUCACGGCUAUGCCUGUCCAAGCACCGAGCCAGAGGGGGUAGGCAAAUCCGCCCCCUCGCAACCGGCCUGUCCUCGUCCUUCGGGAUGGGGGCGGGUCGUCCAGGUGAGGUGUGAUGGCGAGUCCCGUAAGGGGCGAAGGGAGACGGCUUGAGCGGCCGAGAAAAGCCUCUAGCCAGUAGGUCCGGAGCCCGUACCGCAAACCGACACAGGUGGGCGAGGUGAGUAUCCACAGGUGGACGAGCCAACUCCGGUCAAGGAACUCGGCAAAAUGGCCCCGUAACUUCGGGAGAAGGGGCGCCUUCUGGGCUGGUGGGUAACCUUCCGGCCUGGGAGGCCGCAGAGAAUCGGCCCGGGCGACUGUUUACCAAAAACACAGGUCCCUGCUAACCCGAAAGGGGAUGUAUAGGGACUGAAACCUGGCCACUGCCGGUAGGUCAAGGGGAGGGGUGCAAGCCCUGAACCGAAGCCCCGGUGAAGGCCGGCCGUAACUAUAACGGUAGGAGCGGGGGCGCAGGUCCCCGCGAGGGCCGUUUCAAAAUCCGGCUAUAUGCUGGGACGGCCCGUGUAUCCCAGGCUACCGAGGAGGUGACAAAGCCGUGGGUGGGGCCAAUCAGCAGGAAAGGCUCUCCAAUACCGAAGCAGCAAGGUGGUUCCUUGCAGGGCUCAUCGAGGGCGAAGGGAGCUUUGCCGUAUCCAUCAAGGAGCAUCCCACAGCCAGAUACGGCUUUUAUGUGGAUCCCGAAUUCUUCAUCUAUCAGCACAAAAGCGGCCGCAGGCUCCUUGAGAUGGCGAAGGAGAUCUUCGGGACGGGCAGGAUCUACCCUAAACCUGGGAAUCCCGAGGUCCUCGUCUUCGCCAUCACUGCUAGAAGGAGCCUUAAGGAGAAGGUGCUCCCGUUCGUCGAAAGGUAUAUGGUUUUCUCCACGAAGAAGAAAGAGCUUCAGCUCUUUGUAGAGAUCGUGGAGGCCCUUGAGCGCAAGGAACACCAUUCCGCUUUCGGGCUGGCGCGCAUCGUCGAGAAGGCGUAUGCGUUGAAUCCGGCCGGGAAGGGGAGGGAGAGGAAGCGACCUCUCCUCGAGGUCUUGGAGAGAAUCCUCAGAGGCCAUACGCCGGACCCCAACAAUUCCGUGACGCGUGACGGGUGACGUGUUACGGAGCUUGGGGAAGAUAUGGUCCAGGCCCCGUGGCGACACGGGGGAAACCUGCCUAAGGUAGCGAAGUUCCUUGUCGGGUAAGUGAAAGAACUUGCCCUGCCGUCCCGCGAGGGACGGUGAAAAUCCGGCUCAUAUCGGGGAAGCCCUCCUGCCCGAGUUCGGGCGUGGGGUAAUCCCGAGGGAAGUCGGCUCCUUUGGGGAGCUUGACCCCGUAACGACUGACCCGAAAGGGGAGGCGCGCUUAACCCCAGCGCGCAAUACGCCGGACC
rnacentral:rRNA from 2 species